UGAGUUGUAGCCUAGUGGAAAGGCGUUUGGCCGUUAACUAAAAGAUAGCAAGAUCAAUACUUGCCAGCUCAGCCA
rnacentral:tRNA from 1 species